GAUGAACGCUGGCGGCGUGCCUAAUACAUGCAAGUCGAGCGAACAGACGAGGAGCUUGCUCCUCUGACGUUAGCGGCGGACGGGUGAGUAACACGUGGAUAACCUACCUAUAAGACUGGGAUAACUUCGGGAAACCGGAGCUAAUACCGGAUAAUAUAUUGAACCGCAUGGUUCAAUAGUGAAAGACGGUUUUGCUGUCACUUAUAGAUGGAUCCGCGCCGCAUUAGCUAGUUGGUAAGGUAACGGCCUACCAAGGCAACGAUGCGUAGCCGACCUGAGAGGGUAAUCGGCCACACUGGAACUGAGACACGGUCCAGACUCCUACGGGAGGCAGCAGUAGGGAAUCUUCCGCAAUGGGCGAAAGCCUGACGGAGCAACGCCGCGUGAGUGAUGAAGGUCUUCGGAUCGUAAAACUCUGUUAUUAGGGAAGAACAAAUGUGUAAGUAACUAUGCACGUCUUGACGGUACCUAAUCAGAAAGCCACGGCUAACUACGUG
rnacentral:rRNA from 1 species